rnacentral:lncRNA from 1 species
CCCUGAGUAUUUAUACUUACAACCGUGGGUCAGGUCCGUGGAUCGAGUCACUGACCCAAUAGAAUAAAGAAUGGACGGGUCAUAUCUGGGCUCAGAUAUGACUCUCAGUAUUGGGCUCGGGAAAGGCCCAAUUUUAGGUGGUAUCAUCAUUGCCCAAUUGUUCUACCAAUUAUACACAAUAAAUACAUUGUGUAUACAUUAUUACAACAUAUACAACACCACGUAUCUCAACACCCCCCCUCAAGUUGGAAGGGGGGAACCACUUGCAACUUGGAAAGCAGCGGA